rnacentral:ncRNA from 1 species
AGGGAUCAAGUCCCUUGGAUGUGGCGUAAGCUGAACAAAGAG